rnacentral:rRNA from 1 species
UACGUAGGUGACCAGCGUUGUCCGGAUUUACUGGGCGUAAAGAGCGCGCAGGCGGUCGUUCAAGUCGAGUGUGAAAGCCCCCGGCUCCAACUGGGGAGGGUCAUUCGAUACUGAUCGACUUGAAGGCAGGAGAGGGAAGCGGAAUUCCCGGUGUAGUGGUGAAAGUGCGAUAGAUAUCGGGAGGAACACCGGGUGCGAAGGCGGGUCUCUGGGCCAUAACUGACGCUGAGGAGCGAAAGCGUGGGGAGCGAACAG